rnacentral:rRNA from 1 species
CAGGAUGAACGCUAGCUACAGGCUUAACACAUGCAAGUCGAGGGGCAGCAUGAACUUAGCUUGCUAAGUUUGAUGGCGACCGGCGCACGGGUGAGUAACACGUAUCCAACCUUCCGUUUACUCAGGGAUAACCUUUCGAAAGAAAGAUUAAUACCUGAUAGUAUGGUGAGAUUGCAUGAUAGCACCAUUAAAGAUUUAUUGGUAAACGAUGGGGAUGCGUUCCAUUAGGUAGUAGGCGGGGUAACGGCCCACCUAGCCGACGAUGGAUAGGGGUUCUGAGAGGAAGGUCCCCCACAUUGGAACUGAGACACGGUCCAAACUCCUACGGGAGGCAGCAGUGAGGAAUAUUGGUCAAUGGGCGAGAGCCUGAACCAGCCAAGUAGCGUGAAGGAUGAAGGUCCUACGGAUUGUAAACUUCUUUUAUACGGGAAUAAAGUAUCCUACGUGUAGGAUUUUGUAUGUACCGUAUGAAUAAGCAUCGGCUAACUCCGUGCCAGCAGCCGCGGUAAUACGGAGGAUGCGAGCGUUAUCCGGAUUUAUUGGGUUUAAAGGGAGCGCAGACGGGAGAUUAAGUCAGUUGUGAAAGUUUGCGGCUCAACCGUAAAAUUGCAGUUGAUACUGGUUUCCUUGAGUGCAGUUGAGGCAGGCGGAAUUCGUGGUGUAGCGGUGAAAUGCUUAGAUAUCACGAAGAACCCCGAUUGCGAAGGCAGCUUGCUAAACUGUAACUGACGUUCAUGCUCGAAAGUGUGGGUAUCAAACAGGAUUAGAUACCUCGGUAGUCCACACGGUAAACGAUGGAUACUCGCUGUUGGCGAUAUACUGUCAGCGGCCAAGCGAAAGCAUUAAGUAUCCCACCUGGGGAGUACGCCGGCAACGGUGAAACUCAAAGGAAUUGACGGA